rnacentral:rRNA from 1 species
GACGAACCGUCCUAACGUUGUUCGGAAUCACUGGGCUUAAAGGGCGCGUAGGCGGCUUGCCAAGUCAGGGGUGAAAUCCUGCAGCUUAACUGUAGAAGGGCCUUUGAUACUGGCGAGCUCGAGGGAGGUAGGGGUAUGUGGAACUUCUGGUGGAGCGGUGAAAUGCGUUGAUAUCAGAAGGAACGCCGGUGGCGAAAGCGACGGACUGGACCUCUUCUGACGCUGAGGCGCGAAAGCUAGGGGAGCAAACGGG